rnacentral:rRNA from 1 species
AUGAGUUAAGUAUAAACCCCUUUACAAGUAUCAAUUGGAGGGCAAGUCUGGUGCCAGCAGCCGCGGUAAUUCCAGCUCCAAUAGCGUAUAUUAAAGUUGUUGCAGUUAAAAAGCUCGUAGUUGGAUUUCUGUUAAUAAUUUAUAUAAUAUUUUAACGAUAUUAUAUAAUAUUAACAUAAUUCAUAUUACUAUAUAUUUAGUAUAUGGAAUUUUACUUUGAGAAAAUUAGAGUGCUUAAAGCAGGCAUUUGCCUUGAAUACUCCAGCAUGGAAUAAUAUAAAAGAUUUUUAUCUUUUUUAUUGGUUCUAAGAUAAAAAUAAUGAUUAAUAGGGACAGUUGGGGGCAUUUGUAUUUAACAGUCAGAGGUGAAAUUCUUAGAUUUGUUAAAGACAAACUAAUGCGAAAGCAUUUGCCAAGGAUGUUUUCAUUAAUCAAGAACGAAAGCUAGGGGAUCGAAGACGAUCAGAUACCGUCGUAGU